rnacentral:rRNA from 1 species
UACGUAGGCAGCGAGCGUUGUUUCGGAGUUACUGGGCGUAAAGGGUGUGUAGGCGGUUGUUUAAGUUUGGUGUGAAAUCUCCCGGCUCAACUGGGAGGGUGCGCCGAAUACUGAGCGACUAGAGUGCGGGAGAGGAAAGUGGAAUUCCUGGUGUAGCGGUGAAAUGCGUAGAUAUCAGGAGGAACACCGGUGGUGUAGACGGCUUUCUGGGACCGUAACUGACGCUGAGGCACGAAAAGCGUGGGGUAGCAAACAGG